rnacentral:rRNA from 1 species
UGAGGAAUAUUGGUCAAUGGAGGCAACUCUGAACCAGCCAUGCCGCGUGAAGGAUGAAGGUCCUCUGGAUUGUAAACUUCUUUUAUUGGGGAAGAAACCCACUUUUUCUAAGGUGGUUGACGGUACCCAAGGAAUAAGCACCGGCUAACUCCGUGCCAGCAGCCGCGGUAAUACGGAGGGUGCGAGCGUUAUCCGGAUUCACUGGGUUUAAAGGGUGCGUAGGUGGGUCGGUAAGUCAGUGGUGAAAUCCCCGAGCUUAACUCGGGAACUGCCGUUGAUACUACCGGUCUUGAAUUCUGUGGAGGUAAGCGGAAUAUGUCAUGUAGCGGUGAAAUGCUUAGAUAUGACAUAGAACACCGAUAGCGAAGGCAGCUUACUACGCAGAUAUUGACACUGAGGC